UACGAAGGGGGCUAGCGUUGCUCGGAAUCACUGGGCGUAAAGCGCACGUAGGCGGACUCUUAAGUCGGUGGUGAAAUCCGUGGAGCUCAACUCCAGAACUGCCUUUGAUACUGGCGAUCUCGAGUCCGGGAGAGGUGAGUGGAACUGCGAGUGUAGAGGUGAAAUUCGUAGAUAUUCGCAAGAACACCAGUGGCGAAGGCGGCUCACUGGCCCGGUACUGACGCUGAGGUGCGAAAGCGUGGGGAGCAAACAGG
rnacentral:rRNA from 1 species